rnacentral:rRNA from 1 species
GACGAACGCUGGCGGCGUGCCUAAUACAUGCAAGUAGAACGCACAGUUUAUACCGUAGCUUGCUACACCAUAAACUGUGAGUUGCGAACGGGUGAGUAACGCGUAGGUAACCUGCCUGGUAGCGGGGGAUAACUAUUGGAAACGAUAGCUAAUACCGCAUAAUAUUAAUUAUUGCAUGAUAAUUGAUUGAAAGAUGCAAUUGCAUCACUACCAGAUGGACCUGCGUUGUAUUAGCUAGUAGGUGAGGUAACGGCUCACCUAGGCGACGAUACAUAGCCGACCUGAGAGGGGGAUCGGCCACACUGGGACUGAGACACGGCCCAGACUCCUACGGGAGGCAGCAGUAGGGAAUCUUCGGCAAUGGACGAAAGUCUGACCGAGCAACGCCGCGUGAGUGAAGAAGGUUUUCGGAUCGUAAAGCUCUGUUGUAAGAGAAGAAAGGGUGUGAGAGUGGAAAGUUCACACUGUGACGGUAUCUUACCAGAAAGGGACGGCUAACUACGUG